rnacentral:sRNA from 1 species
GCCAGGUAUGGUGGUGCACGUCUGUAAUCCCAGCAGCUCGGGAGGCUGAGGCAGGAGGAUCACCAGUUCAAAGCCAGCCUCAACAACAGUGAGGUGCUAAGCAACUCAGUGAGACUCUGUCUCUA